rnacentral:rRNA from 1 species
UACGUAGGGGGCUAGCGUUGUCCGGAAUCAUUGGGCGUAAAGCGCGUGUAGGCGGUCCGGUAAGUCCGCUGUGAAAGUCGGGGGCUCAACCCUCGGAUGCCGGUGGAUACUGUCGGGCUUGAGUACGGAAGAGGCGAGUGGAAUUCCUGGUGUAGCGGUGAAAUGCGCAGAUAUCAGGAGGAACACCAACGGCGAAGGCAGCUCGCUGGGACGGUACUGACGCUAAGGCGCGAAAGCGUGGGGAGCAAACAGGG